rnacentral:rRNA from 1 species
GUGAGGAAUUUUCCGCAAUGGGCGAAAGCCUGACGGAGCAAUGCCGCGUGAAGGAUGAAGGCCUAUGGGUUGUAAACUUCUUUUCUUAGAGAAUAAUAUUGACGGGAUCUGAGGAAUAAGCAUCGGCUAACUCUGUGCCAGCAGCCGCGGUAAGACAGAGGAUGCAAGCGUUAUCCGGAAUGAUUGGGCGUAAAGCGUCUGUAGGUGGCUUGAAAAGUCUCCUGUCAAAGAUCAGGGCUUAACCCUGGGCCGGCAGGAGAAACUCUGAGGCUAGAGUUUGGUAGGGGCAGAGGGAAUUCCCGGUGGAGCGGUGAAAUGCGUAGAGAUCGGGAGGAACACCAAAGGCGAAAGCACUCUGCUGGGCCACAACUGACACUGAGAGACGAAAGCGAGGGGAGCAAAAGGGAUUAGAAACCCGGGUAGUCC